UGGGGAAUAUUGCACAAUGGGCGCAAGCCUGAUGCAGCAAUGCCGCGUGAGUGAAGACGGCCUUAGGGUUGUAAAACUCUUUCGCUAGGGAAGAUGAUGACGGUAGCCGUAGAAGAAGCCCCGGCUAACUUCGUGCCAGCAGCCGCGGUAAUACGAAGGGGGCAAGCGUUGUUCGGAAUUACUGGGCGUAAAGGGCGUGUAGGCGGUCUAAUCAGUCAGAGGUGAAAGCCCUGGGCUCAACCCAGGAAUUGCCUUUGAUACUGUUAGACUAGAGUUCGGGUAGAGGGUAGUGGAAUUCCCAGUGUAGAGGUGAAAUUCGUAGAUAUUGGGAAGAACACCAGUGGCGAAGGCGGCUACCUGGACCGAUACUGACGCUGAGGCGCGAAAGCGUGGGG
rnacentral:rRNA from 1 species